rnacentral:rRNA from 1 species
AUUGAACGCUGGCGGCAGGCCUAACACAUGCAAGUCGAACGAGUGGCGGACGGGUGAGUAAUGUCUGGGAAACUGCCCGAUGGAGGGGGCUAACUACUGGAAAAGGUAGCUAAUACCGCAUACCAUCGGAUGUGCCCAGAUUGGAUUAGCUAGUGGGUGGGGUAAAGGCUCACCUAGGCGACGAUCCCUAGCUGGUCUGAGAGGAUGACCAGCCACACUGGGACUGAGACACGGCCCAGACUCCUACGGGAGGCAGCAGUGGGGAAUAUUGCACAAUGGGCGCAAGCCUGAUACAGCCAUGCCGCGUGUAUGAAGAAGGCCUUCGGGUUGUAAAGUACUUUCAGCGAGGAGGCGUUACUCGAAGAAGAAGCACCGGCUAACUCCGUGCCAGCAGCCGCGGUAAUAC